rnacentral:tRNA from 1 species
AGGAUUUUAGUUAAUUUGAAUAACAUCUAAAUUGCAUUUAGAAAUUAUAUGUAUAUAAAUCUUU